rnacentral:miRNA from 1 species
CCCCUUCCUGGUUAAUUAAAUCCUCAGACUGGUGCUGUGUUCCUAGCCUCUGGCCUCUCUGUGGGGAAGGGAGAUUGCAGGGGGAAGAGCCGGGAAGGGACAGUCAGGCUUCUCCCUGGGAAGGUGGGGCCAGCAGGAG